AGCAGUAUGGUGUAAUUCUACACACGGGGCUCCCUUAUCUUGUUUGAUCAGGUCAAAUCCCGAGGUCCUUGUUCGAAUCAAGGUGCUGCUA